rnacentral:rRNA from 1 species
AUACAGAGGGUGCGAGCGUUAAUCGGAAUUACUGGGCGUAAAGCGCGCGUAGGCGGUCUAUUAAGUCAGAUGUGAAAUCCCAGGGCUCAACCUUGGAACUGCAUCUGAUACUGGGAGACUAGAGUUUUGGAGAGGGAAGUAGAAUUUCAGGUGUAGCGGUGAAAUGCAUAGAGAUCUGAAGGAAUACCAGUGGCGAAGGCGACUUCCUGGCCAAAAACUGACGCUGAGGUGCGAAAGCAUGGGUAGCAAACGGGAUUAGAUACCCUAGUAGUCC